rnacentral:rRNA from 1 species
AUUGAACGCUGGCGGCAGGCCUAACACAUGCAAGUCGAACGAGUGGCGGACGGGUGAGUAAUGUCUGGGAAACUGCCCGAUGGAGGGGGAUAACUACUGGAAACGGUAGCUAAUACCGCAUACCAUCGGAUGUGCCCAGAUGGGCUUAGCUAGUAGGUGGGGUAACGGCUCACCUAGGCGACGAGCCCUAGCUGGUCUGAGCGGAUGACCAGACACACUGGAACUGAGACACGGUCCAGACUCCUACGGGAGGCAGCAGUGGGGAAUAGUGAACAAUGGGCGCAAGCCUGAUGCAGCCAUGCCGCGUGUAUGAAGAAGGCCUUAGGGUUGUAAAGGACUUUCAGAGAGGAGGCGUUACUCGCAGAAGAAGCACCGGCUAACUCCGUGCCAGCAGCCGCGGUAAUUC